rnacentral:rRNA from 1 species
AGUGAACGCUGGCGGUAGGCCUAACACAUGCAAGUCGAACGGCAGCACAGUAAGAGCUUGCUCUUACGGGUGGCGAGUGGCGGACGGGUGAGGAAUACAUCGGAAUCUACUUUUUCGUGGGGGAUAACGUAGGGAAACUUACGCUAAUACCGCAUACGACCUACGGGUGAAAGCAGGGGAGCUUCGGACCUUUCGCGAUUGAAUGAGCCGAUGUCGGAUUAGCUAGUUGGCGGGGUAAAGGCCCACCAAGGCGACGAUCCGUAGCUGGUCUGAGAGGAUGAUCAGCCACACUGGAACUGAGACACGGUCCAGACUCCUACGGGAGGCAGCAGUGGGGAAUAUUGGGCAAGGGGCGCAAGCCUGAUCCAGCCAUACCGCGUGGGUGAAGAAGGCCUUCGGGUUGUAAAGCCCUUUUGUUGGGAAAGAAAAGCAGCAGGUUAAUACCCCGCUGUUCUGACGGUACCCAAAGAAUAAGCACCGGCUAACUUCGUG